rnacentral:rRNA from 1 species
UACGUAGGGGGCUAGCGUUGUCCGGAAUCAUUGGGCGUAAAGAGCGUGUAGGCGGCCCGGUAAGUCCGCUGUGAAAGUCGGGGGCUCAACCCUCGGAUGCCGGUGGAUACUGUCGGGCUCGAGUACGGAAGAGGCGAGUGGAAUUCCUGGUGUAGCGGUGAAAUGCGCAGAUAUCGGGAAGAACACCCGUGGCGAAGGCGGCUCUCUGGGACGGUACUGACGCUGAGACGCGAAAGCGUGGGGAGCGAACAGG